CACAGACUCCUACGGGAGGCAGCAGUGGGGAAUAUUGCACAAUGGGCGCAAGCCUGAUGCAGCCAUGCCGCGUGUAUGAAGAAGGCCUUCGGGUUGUAAAGUACUUUCAGCAGUGAGGAAGGUGGAUAUGUUAAUAGCAUAUUCAUUUGACGUUAGCUGCAGAAGAAGCACCGGCUAACUCCGUGCCAGCAGCCGCGGUAAUACGGAGGGUGCGAGCGUUAAUCGGAAUUACUGGGCGUAAAGCGCAUGCAGGUGGUUUGUUAAGUCAGAUGUGAAAGCCCGGGGCUCAACCUCGGAAUUGCAUUUGAAACUGGCAAACUAGAGUACUGUAGAGGGGGUAGAAUUUCAGGUGUAGCGGUGAAAUGCGUAGAGAUCUGAAGGAAUAACGGUGGCGAAGGCGGCCCCCUGGACAGAUACUGACACUCAGAUGCGAAAGCGUGGGGAGCAAACAGGAUUAGAUACCCUGGUAG
rnacentral:rRNA from 1 species